GAUGAUUAUUGGUUUGAAUCAAAUUCUCAAGUGAGCAUUACGCAUUUAUGGGAAAAUUACGUCCGAAGGAAUUCCUCAGAUAAUAAAGAGAGUAAUAACGAAAGUGUGAAUCAACAACUCUCAACUCAAAAGGAUAUGAAGUGUUUAUGUGUAUUCUCAACAGCAUUUUUGUCGGGUAGAGGUAUGCCGAGAAACCCCUCUACUUUCAGCUCUUUAUUUCCUUACUCUUUCUAAAUGCUUAGGACUAUUGUUUGUGCUAUAUAUCUCCUCAUUCAUUCAUAUUGUAAUUCAUGAAUUUGCUGUUUAGACUUCGAAACCAAUGUGUUAUAUACUAAGAAAAGGUUUUGUUUUGCUU